rnacentral:rRNA from 1 species
GAGUUGUAAUUUGAAGAAGGUAUCUUUGGGCCCGGCUCCUGUCUAUGUUCCUUGGAACAGGACGUCACAGAGGGUGAGAAUCCCGUGCGAUGAGAUGACCCGGGUCUGUGUAAAGUUCCUUCGACGAGUCGAGUUGUUUGGGAAUGCAGCUCUAAGUGGGUGGUAAAUUCCAUCUAAAGCUAAAUAUUGGCGAGAGACCGAUAGCGAACAAGUACAGUGAUGGAAAGAUGAAAAGAACUUUGAAAAGAGAGUGAAAAAGUACGUGAAAUUGUUGAAAGGGAAGGGCUUGAGAUCAGACUUGGUAUUUUGCAUGCUGCUCUCUCGGGGGCGGCCGCUGCGGUUUACCGGGCCAGCAUCGGUUUGGAGCGGCAGGAUAAUGGCGGAGGAAUGUGGCACGGCUUCUGCUGUGUGUUAUAGCCUCUGACGAUACUGCCAGCCUAGACCGAGGACUGCGGUU